rnacentral:rRNA from 1 species
GAUAUUGCACAAUGGGGGGAACCCUGAUGCAGCGACGCCGCGUGGGCGAGGGAGCGCCUCGGCGCGUAAAGCCCUUUCGGCGGGGGAGAGCGAUGACGGUACCCGACGAAGAAGCCCCGGCUAACUACGUGCCAGCAGCCGCGGUAAUACGUAGGGGGCAAGCGUUAUCCGGAUUUACUGGGUGUAAAGGGAGCGUAGACGGCAGCGCAAGUCUGGAGUGAAAUGCCGGGGCCCAACCCCGGAACUGCUUUGGAAACUGUGCAGCUCGAGUGCAGGAGAGGUAAGCGGAAUUCCUAGUGUAGCGGUGAAAUGCGUAGAUAUUAGGAGGAACACCAGUGGCGAAGGCGGCUUACUGGACUGUAACUGACGUUGAGGCUCGAAAGCGUGGGGAGCAAACAG